rnacentral:rRNA from 1 species
CAGCAGCCGCGGUAAUACGUAGGGUGCGAGCGUUAAUCGGAUUUACUGGGCGUAAAGCGUGCGCAGGCGGCCCGUUAAGACAGGUGUGAAAUCCCUGGGCUCAACCUAGGAAUUGCGCUUGUGACUGGCGGGCUCGAGUACGGUAGAGGGGGGUGGAAUUCCUGGUGUAGCAGUGAAAUGCGUAGAGAUCAGGAGGAACACCGAUGGCGAAGGCAGCCCCCUGGGCCUGUACUGACGCUCAUGCACGAAAGCGUGGGGAGCAAACAGGAUUAGAUGCCCGGGUAGUCCACGCCCUAAACGAUGGGUACUAGCCGUUUGGUGCGCGAUAGCGCUGAGUGGCGAAGCUAACGCGUGAAGUACCCCGCCUGGGGAGUACGGCCGCAAGGUUGAAACUUAAAGGAAUUGGCGGG